UGGCCGCGGUAUUUUGACCGUGCGAAGGUAGCAUAAUAAAUAGUCCAUUAAUUAUGGUCUGGAAUGAAUGGUUCGACGGAGGGAGGCUUUCUUAUAGUUAUGGAUGAAUUUAAGUUAUCAGUAAAAACGCUGAUGUGUUUUAGAGGGACAAGAAGACCCUAUAGAGCUUUAUAUUAAGUUUAAGUUAGGUGGUAAAAAUGUUAAACAGGUAUUUUGUUGGGGCGACAUUAGAUAUUAAACAUUUAAUUUUUAGUCUUUUUUAAAGGUUAUAAUGAUCCAUUAGUAAUGAUUUGAGACUAAGUUACCUUAGGGAUAACAGCGUAAUUUUGUUGUAGAGUUCUUAUCGAUGACAAAGUUUGCGACCUCGAUGUUGGAUUAAAAUUCCUAUAAGGCGUAAGAGUUUUAUAAGGUGGUCUGUUCGACCAUUAAAAUUUUACA
rnacentral:rRNA from 1 species